UGCCGCGUGCAGGAUGACGGUCCUAUGGAUUGUAAACUGCUUUUGUACAGGAAGAAACACUCCCUCGUGAGGGAGCUUGACGGUACUGUAAGAAUAAGGAUCGGCUAACUCCGUGCCAGCAGCCGCGGUAAUACGGAGGAUCCAAGCGUUAUCCGGAAUCAUUGGGUUUAAAGGGUCCGUAGGCGGGUUUAUAAGUCAGUGGUGAAAGCCCAUCGCUCAACGAUGGAACGGCCAUUGAUACUGUAGAUCUUGAAUUAUUAGGAAGUAACUAGAAUAUGUAGUGUAGCGGUGAAAUGCUUAGAGAUUACAUGGAAUACCAAUUGCGAAGGCAGGUUACUACUAAUGGAUUGACGCUGAUGGACGAAAGCGUGGGUAGCGAACAGGAUUAGAUACCCUGGUAGUCCACGCCGUAAACGAUGGAUACUAGCUGUUCGGAGCAAUCUGAGUGGCUAAGCGAAAGUGAUAAGUAUCCCACCUGGGGAGUACGUUCGCAAGAAUGAAACUCAAAGGAAUUGACGGGGGCCCGCACAAGCGGUGGAGCAUGUGGUUUAAUUCGAUGAUACGCGAGGAACCUUACCAAGGCUUAAAUGUAGAUUGACAGGACUGGAAACAGUUUUUUUCU
rnacentral:rRNA from 1 species